GGGCGUAUAACUCAGUGGUACAGCAUUCGACAGCAUAUCGAGAGGUCUCCGGUUCAAACCCGGGUGUCCU
rnacentral:tRNA from 1 species